GCCACGGUGGUCUAGCGGUUAGAACGCUGGGCUUGUAAUCCUGCACGGAGUUUUCGUCCGUGGCA
rnacentral:tRNA from 1 species